rnacentral:rRNA from 1 species
GAUGAACGCUGGCGGCGUGCCUAACACAUGCAAGUCGAGCGAACGGACGGGACUCUUUCUUCUCUGCUGUUAGCGGCGGGCGGGUGAUUAACACGUAGCUACCCGACCUUUGAGAAUGGCAUCCCUUCGGGGACCCGAAUCUCAUAUCGGACGAUAUUUUGAACGUCAUGGUUCUUCGGUGCUCGCCCUUCUUGCUGUCCCUAAUUCGUGUUACCUCGCUGCAUUAGCUAGUUGGUACGGUAACGGCUUACCAAGGCUACGAUGCAUAGCCGACCUGAGAGGAUGAUCGGUCACACUGGAACUGAGACACGGUCCAGACUCCUACGGGAGGCAGCAGUGGGGAAUAUUGGGCAAUGGGCGAAAGCCUGACGGAGCAAUGCCGCGUGUGUGAUGAAGGUCUUCGGAUCGUAAAGCACUGUUAGUAGGGAGGAACAGAAGUGAGAGAAAACGUGGAUAUCUUGACGGUACCAAAACAGAAAGCAACGGCUAACUACGUG